GGACCAGGUCCUAUUGUUUUUUUUUCCUCUGUGGAGUGAGAAACGGCGUCGUUUUAAUUUUUAGGUUUCUGAUUUUAGAAAUCCUGAUCCGUUGUCUUCUCGUUCUCGCUUAGUCGCAGGCUCGCAGCUUCUCUCGCAGCUUCUAGGCUCCUUCCUCUCCCGGCGCCGUCGUCCACGCUCCGUCGUCCGUCGUCCGGCGUCCCAAAGGUAUAAUUCUUCUCUAAAAUGCAAUUGCUUCUUCUCUCUCGUCAAAGCAAAGACUGCUACAUGUUUGUUUUAAGGCAAAUUCAGAUUUUGGGUUUUGCCAUUUUGUUCCUUCAUAUUUUUCCAAUGUUUGUGAUUGUGUGUGACUGUGUGUGCCUGCGGGUGUGGUUCGGUAUCUUGAGCGGGCCUAAGUAAAUAACUUAUUACGCAACCUCGUAGUCGUACUGUUACCCCCUUUCCCUUAUUGUGCGAAAAGGAUUAUUGAACUGUUACGUUUGGUAGUUGAAAAUCCUAUUGCAGAUGCGGUGCUCUGUUGCUUAUGGGAUUUCCAUAAUCCUAACUGCCUUGCGUGGCAAUGUGAACAACACUUGUCGAUAGGAAGAGAGAAGCUUGCAUGCUCAGGAACACAGUUCUGAACUUCUGAUAUUAAUUGGAAGCCAAUAAUAUGAGAUAUUUUAAAGGGUGAUAACCAAGCUCUAAUAACUUUUGAACGAUUGAACCUGCAUUAUUAUGUAACGAGUUGGAUGUUACAACACUAAAAUUAGCUAUGUUAGUGCAUAUAUUAUUUUAUAGUGAGGAGGGACAGUCCAGGCAUGCUCGUAUGCCCAUUGCCCACUCAUAAAUAUGGGAUAACAUGUAGCUUCUUUGAUUCGUAUUUUUUUGUAUUUUGUUGAACAAGUUUCCUAUCCUUUCUAAUGGACAAGGAAUGAAAAUAACAUUAUGUUAUGUAAACGUAAGUAUACUUUACCGUGAUUAUGAAAAGAACAUUAUGUUAUGCCCACUCAAAAUUUAAUUUAUUUUUUUUUGGUGAUUAUAAAAAAACUAAGAUAAAAUUAUUUAAAGAAUAUUAUGUUAUGUAAACGUAAGUAUACUUUACCGUUUUAUAAAUUAAUUAAAAUGUUAUACUUUAUUUUUACAGAAAUAAAAUACUUGUUUCCGUCAGUUUGAUUAGGAUUCAGGGAGUUGUUAUUUACACUCUUCAUUUUCACUUGUACACUCCUCUUUCCCUUUCUUUUUCAUAAUCUUCCUAAAAUGCCCUCCUUAACACACUCCACCUCGUCUCUUUCUUCCAAAAAAAAAACACAUCGACCGUGGAUGUGUC
rnacentral:lncRNA from 1 species